UGUCACAAGAGCAGAGUAGAGGGGGAGAAUCACCUCCCUAAAAGUAAAGGCUUUACAUUCUGCUCCCCACCAUGCAGUGAUGUAAAACCCCACAGAGAUCCUGACUCAGUGGUACCCUGCAAGCAUAAACAUGGCAGCAUCCACAGAGGAAGUGAAUCUGAAAGGAAAAUGAGUUAAAAAAAAAAAAAAUAAAAAUCAUAGAUCACCGGGCCAGAAAAAACACCUCCAUGAGCAACAGCACUGCCAGGAAUAACAGCAGGGCAGUGACUGGGGAGCUCAGGGGGAAAGAGCUGUGUGAGUCAAGAUGGGAAAUAGGAUGACAGACGUCAUCUACCCCCACCGUGUGCAUGGAACAGAAAAAACUGCUUGAAAGGAGCUGUGUCUAAGCCAGUGAUUAACCUGCACCUCAACAGAGGGGCAAGAAGUUUCUGAGCACCCUCCUGGCAAUAUUCAUUGGGAACUCCUUGCUUAGAUGUCUGUGCACAAGCUGAAGGACUUCAAGGGCUCUCCCUCUCCUCAGCUCCAAGUGAGGACAGGGAUUAGCACAGUGGGAGGCAGUUCCAGCUCCACAAGAACUGGGAGAUAGAAAACAGCAUCUGAAGCGGGGCAGAAAAAGCCCCUGCGAGGCUGAUGUCUCCAGAGAGAGGGAAGAUCAGGUCUGUGCCUCCUGCAGUUUGGAUGUGAACAGUCUUUGUUCUGCAUCGUUUACUUUACACAACCUCUGGGCAGCUUCAGCAGUUCAUGAACUGCCCAAGCAUCUGCAAAUGUGAUUCUUGACUUCGGGAUCUCUCUGACGCAAACCAAGUUAAAGAGCAAUGAGA